ensembl:ncRNA T06F4.11 ncRNA
UCAGAAGAAAUCAAAACUUGAUGAUAUGCCUGCCGGAUUCUUGUCACAUUUUACGAGCUCUUUCAAACAAUUGGAUGGAUUAUUGACAGCUGAAGCAUCUGCCUGAUCUACAAUUGAUCAUUUUGACAGGACGAAGUGAGUGAAAACCUCUAACCACACCGGAGGGUGGAUAUUUUUAGUGGGGGCGGCGAAGUAG